rnacentral:rRNA from 1 species
GAUGAACGCUGGCGGCGUGCCUAAUACAUGCAAGUCGAGCGAACAGAUGAGGAGCUUGCUCCUCUGACGUUAGCGGCGGACGGGUGAGUAACACGUGGAUAACCUACCUAUAAGACUGGGAUAACUUCGGGAAACCGGAGCUAAUACCGGAUAAUAUAUUGAACCGCAUGGUUCAAUAGUGGAAGACGGUUUUGCUGUCACUUAUAGAUGGAUCCGCGCCGCAUUAGCUAGUUGGUAAGGUAACGGCUUACCAAGGCAACGAUGCGUAGCCGACCUGAGAGGGGGAUCGGCCACACUGGAACUGAGACACGGUCCAGACUCCUACGGGAGGCAGCAGUAGGGAAUCUUCCGCAAUGGGCGAAAGCCUGACGGAGCAACGCCGCGUGAGUGAUGAAGGUCUUCGGAUCGUAAAACUCUGUUAUUAGGGAAGAACAAAUGUGUAAGUAACUAUGCACGUCUUGACGGUACCUAAUCAGAAAGCCACGGCUAACUACAUG